GAGCUGGGGUUGUGCACUUCAGUCCGUCCAGAGCCUCGCCCACUUGUGAACCCGCUGACUUCAGAGCGCACUCUGGUCGAAGCGGUGGAAACAGUCAUGUGAUGUAACAGUGCUUCUUUGGAAAUCGGAACAAAGUACAACAUUUCACUUGCAACCCUGUCGAACACGAGCACAUGUGGUUCGCUGUUACACAGAGGUUCACGUGGUGAAAACCCAGCCUGUUUUGCCAUCAUUAGUCACGGGGCUGCUUGUGUGUCACGAAGGGGACGUUUACCAAGCAGUUGGUGUGCCCUUCAAAUCUAACAACUG